UACGGAGGGUGCAAGCGUUGUCCGGAAUCACUGGGCGUAAAGGGCGCGUAGGCGGCUUCAUGAAGGCUGUGGUGAAAGUCCGGGGCUCAACCUCGGAUCGGCCGUUGGCGACUCGUGGGCUGGAGCGACUGUAGAGGCGGGUGGAAUUCCGGGUGUAGCGGUGAAAUGCGUAGAGAUCCGGAAGAACACCGGUGGCGAAGGCGGUCUGCUGGGGUGAGGCUGACGCUGAUGCGCGACAGCGUGGGGAGGCAAACAGG
rnacentral:rRNA from 1 species